rnacentral:rRNA from 1 species
CGACGAGUGGCGGACGGGUGAGUAAUGCUUGGGAACUUACCCUUCAGAGGGGGACAAGCACUGGAAACGGUGUCUAAUACCGCAUACGCCCUACGGGGGAAAGGAGCAAUCCGCUGAAGGAGAGGCCCGCGGCAGAUUAGGUAGUUGGUGUGGUAAAAGCACACAAAGCCGAUGAUCUGUAGCUGGUUUGAGAGGAUGAUCAGCCACACUGGAACUGAGACACGGUCCAG